CACAUCUCUUUCUCAACCUGAAAACGCAGCUACUUUGAUUAAUGCUAAGCAAUAUGCCUUGGUGGCGGUUGAUUUAUUAACCCACUACCAUGAUAGGGGCUGAGGGAAGAAUCAACAGUUCAUGGCAUUUUAUUUCUGUAUAUUUUGUUCUCUUCAAUUGCUCUUUGAAGCACCAUGAUAGGGGCUGAGGGAAGAAGCAAUGAUUAUGUCGUUUUUCUAAGCUUUAGCUACUGCUGUCAAGGUAAUUCUUGAGCCAAAGAUGCAUAUUUAUCA